rnacentral:rRNA from 1 species
UACGAAGGGGGCUAGCGUUGUUCGGAAUUACUGGGCGUAAAGAGCUCGUAGGCGGCUUGCUAAGUCGGGUGUGAAACCCCCGAGCUCAACUCGGGGUCGCCAUCUGAUACUGGUAUGGCUGGAGUCCGGUAGGGGACCACGGAAUUCCUGGUGUAGCGGUGAAAUGCGCAGAUAUCAGGAGGAACACCGAUGGCGAAGGCAGUGGUCUGGGCCGGUACUGACGCUGGAGGAGCGAAAGCGUGGGGAGCGAACAGG